CAAUUUUAAACAUUCAAAAAAUGAUCCUCUUGAUUGUUCAAUUCAUAAAUUUUUAUCCAAAAAGCCGCAAUAAAAAGCAACAGUUCGUGUUUAUCAGGACGCCAUUUUGCUAGCAAUUGUCAUGGCGUGAGCAUGAUGUGUACAUCUAGGGAAAUUUGAGGACACGAAGUCCUAUUACGUUACACAUCUGGUAUAUACAUAAUCUGUGUCCAGGUGGCCAUAUGGUACAUUUGUGUCUAGUUUCGCUCAUAUAAUUCUGAUUUUUGUUUUCAGCUGUUGUACCAUACGAUAAAGAACGAUCAAGGAAUACGUCCGGUAUCAUAGUUGGUGUGUCAGUUUCGUUUCUAUUUCUCGUCAUACUUGUCAUUGCUUUGUUUGUGUGGCGACGUCGACCUACUCAUUCCUACAUACGCCAGACGACUAGCAACGACCAUGGGGAUGGUCCAACUGAAACCAAACUAUAGAUUUGUUUGCAUUUGAAUGUAACCAUCUAGUGGAAUAAAAGUAUCUUAAUUAAUUUAUUUCCUUCUGAACCAUAUAUUGCACGAUUGUGAACCAAAAGAUAUUUUACUCUUCCUAACGCAAUGAAUUUUACUCGUAAAUGGUAGAAUGAUCUGACAGGAAAGGAUGAACUCCUUCAUGUAACUGUAGUUAAAUAUAGAUUGACGGAUACCUGCUUUUCAGAAUUUAGUGUUUAUUCUGUUUAACGUGCCAGGAAAUGCUACUUGUAAAGGGGAGAACUCUCCUACGGGAAUGGCGUAGGCAGGAACUCUUUGAUGCCACUGGGUGCUUUAGUAUAUUUUUAUAACAGUUAAAAAAACUGUAAUUUUUAGUUAAUAAACAGUUUUAGCAAAGAUAAAAUUUCAUGCAAAAUUGUGAGAUAGCCUGACAGGUUAAUUAAAUAUUUUAACUGU